UGGGGAAUAUUGCACAAUGGAGGGAACUCUGAUGCAGCCAUGCCGCGUGUAUGAAGAAGGCCUUCGGGUUGUAAAGUACUUUCAGCGGGGAGGAAGGGAGUAAAGUUAAUACCUUUGCUCAUUGACGUUACCCGCAGAAGAAGCACCGGCUAACUCCGUGCCAGCAGCCGCGGUAAUACGGAGGGUGCAAGCGUUAAUCGGAAUUACUGGGCGUAAAGCGCACGCAGGCGGUUUGUUAAGUCAGAUGUGAAAUCCCCGGGCUCAACCUGGGAACUGCAUCUGAUACUGGCAAGCUUGAGUCUCGUAGAGGGGGGUAGAACUCCAGGUGUAGCGGUGAAAUGCGUAGAGAUCUGGAGGAAUACCGGUGGCGAAGGCGGCCCCCUGGACGAAGACUGACGCUCAGGUGCGAAAGCGUGGGGAGCAAACAGG
rnacentral:rRNA from 1 species